AUACGGAGGGUGCGAGCGUUAAUCGGAAUUACUGGGCGUAAAGCGUACGUAGGCGGUUUGCUAAGUCAGAUGUGAAAGCCCCGGGCUUAACCUGGGAACUGCAUUUGAUACUGGCAGACUAGAGUAUGAUAGAGGGGGGUAGAAUUCCUGGUGUAGCGGUGAAAUGCGUAGAUAUCAGGAGGAAUACCAGUGGCGAAGGCGGCCCCCUGGAUCAAUACUGACGCUGAGGUACGAAAGCGUGGGGAGCGAACAGAAUUAGAUACCCUAGUAGUCC
rnacentral:rRNA from 1 species